rnacentral:rRNA from 1 species
UAGGGAAUCUUCGGCAAUGGACGAAAGUCUGACCGAGCAACGCCGCGUGAGUGAAGAAGGUUUUCGGAUCGUAAAACUCUGUUGUUAGAGAAGAACAAGGACGUUAGUAACUGAACGUCCCCUGACGGUAUCUAACCAGAAAGCCACGGCUAACUACGUGCCAGCAGCCGCGGUAAUACGUAGGUGGCAAGCGUUGUCCGGAUUUAUUGGGCGUAAAGCGAGCGCAGGCGGUUUCUUAAGUCUGAUGUGAAAGCCCCCGGCUCAACCGGGGAGGGUUAUUGGAAACUGGAAGACUUGAGUGCAGAAGAGGAGGGUGGAAUUCCAUGGGUAGCGGUGAAAUGCGUAAAUAUGUGGAAGAACACCAGUGGCGGAGGCCGCUUUCUGGUCUGUAACUGACGCUGGGGGUCGAAAGCGUGGGGAGCAAACAGG